AAGAGAGUUAGUGGUGCAGGCAGGGAUAGUCGUAUGUGGCUUACACUUUUCUCCGUCACACCUCUUCAAACUUUAUCACGUGGAUCCUCAAUUCCGUAUUUUAUUGAUUUUAUUUCGUUUUCACUUGCGAAAUUACUAAUUUAUAUGCUGUUCUCUUGUGCAUUUUCAUUGAAGAAAUUUCUUCAUCGAAUCAUGAAUCAACGUGUAAUGAGCACCGGACCGGACAAAUAAGAUGU